rnacentral:misc_RNA from 1 species
UUGAAACAUUGUAAAGGGAAGUUGAGCUGGCUCUUCAAAGGGCAAGUGCUCGCUUUUCUUUCAAUCUUCAUCCACCUGUGCACUUUUUGUAGAGAGCUCUGAGAAAGAGGCCCUUAGGUCUCAAGUAUUGGGCUUUCUAUGUCUUUACAAACUCUUUAAUGUAUGUCUUUGAAUGUCUUUUACAAGGGACUUUAUUGGACCUUUUAAAAACUAUA